UACAGAGGUCCCAAGCGUUGUUCGGAUUCACUGGGCGUAAAGGGUGCGUAGGCGGUCGGGUAAGUCUGAUGUGAAAUCUCCGAGCCCAACUCGGAAACGGCAUCGGAUACUAUCCGGCUUGAGGAUUGCAGGGGAGACUGGAAUUCUCGGUGUAGCAGUGAAAUGCGUAGAUAUCGAGAGGAACACCAGUGGCGAAGGCGAGUCUCUGGACAAUUCCUGACGCUGAGGCACGAAAGCCAGGGGAGCAAACGGG
rnacentral:rRNA from 1 species